CCCUUAGAUGUUCUGGGCCGCACGCGCGCUACACUGAUGCAUUCAACGAGUCUAAAACCUGCUCUGAUAGGGGUGGGUAAUCUUUUGAAUGUGCAUCGUGAUUGGGAUAGAUGAUUGAAAUUUUUCAUCUUCAACGAGGAACGCCUAGUAAACGCAAGUCAUCAGCUUGCAUUGAUUACGUCCCUGCCCUUUGUACACACCGCCCGUCGCUCCUACCGAUUGAAUGAUCCGAUGAAUAUCAUGGAUUGAGGAUGCAAGUAGGUUCACCUAUCUUCAUCUUCGAGAAGUGAAGUAAAUCUUAUCAUUUAGAGGAAGGAGAAGUCGUAACA
rnacentral:rRNA from 1 species